CGUGCCUAAUACAUGCAAGUCGAACGGUCUUUCUAUGGAAGCUUGCUUCCACUGAGAAGAUAGUGGCGAACGGGUGAGUAACACGUGGGUAACCUGCCCAUAAGAGGGGGGAUAACAUCCGGAAACGGGUGCUAAUACCGCAUAGUUUUCUUGAUCGCAUGAUCGGGAAAGGAAAGACGGCCUUUGUGCUGUCGCUUAUGGAUGGACCCGCGGCGUAUUAGUUAGUUGGUGAGGUAACGGCUCACCAAGACGAUGAUACGUAGCCGACCUGAGAGGGUGAUCGGCCACAUUGGGACUGAGACACGGCCCAAACUCCUACGGGAGGCAGCAGUAGGGAAUCUUCCGCAAUGGACGAAAGUCUGACGGAGCAACGCCGCGUGAGUGAAAGAAGGUUUUCGGAUCGUAAAACUCUGUUGUCAGAGAAGAACAAGUUGGAGAGUAACUGCUCCAGCCUUGACGGUAUCUGACCAGAAAGCCACGGCUAACUACGUGCCAGCCGCGGC
rnacentral:rRNA from 1 species